CCCCAGCGCCACAAGUGGUACCCAGCUUUAUUUGGUCUAAAGCGUCCGUAGCUGGCGCGUUAAAUUUUCUGUGAAAUCGUGGGGCCUAACUUCACGGCGUGCAGAAAACACUGGCGUGCUUGGGACCAGAAGAGGUAAGCGGUAUUCCAUGGGGGGCGGUAAAAUGCUAUAAUCCAUGGAGGACCACCGAUGGCGAAGGCAGCUCUCUGGGACGGUACUGACGCUGAGGCGCGAAAGCGUGGGGAGCGAACAGG
rnacentral:rRNA from 1 species